rnacentral:other from 1 species
AACGCCCUGCUGUGCUCGUGAUUUGCCUUUUUAAACCCACAUUAAUAAUAAGGGACGCUGGACUCUUGCUGUGGAUUGCAGGCCUCCCCAUGGUGGACGUUGGAAGCAGAGAAGCAGCAAGGAGGCAACCCACCUGCCGAGUUGUGCAGGUUAUAAAUUGGCAACACGGCAUUGGCGGGGAUUUA